GAGGUACUGGAAACCAUGAUAAAAUCCAACACCCGUCCUUUGUGUGUUAUUUCGGAUUUCUUUCUAGGCUUUACACUUGCUUCAUGCCAAGCAUUAGGUGUUCCUAGGCUAGUCUUUCAUGGCAUGAGUGCUUUAUCAAUGGCCAUUAGCAAAUCAUCUUGGGUAAAUGCAUCACAGAUAAACUCACUGUCUAUGCUCGAUCCUGUUGACCUGCCUGAUGAAGCUUCCUUUCACUUUAACUAGAGCAGACUUACCUGCAGAAACACUGAACUCAUCAAACCAUGAUGACCCCAUGUCUGAAUUCAUAGGUGAGGUGGGUUGGGCUGAUGUAAACAGUUGGGGAAUCAUUAUUAAUAGCUUUGAAGAGCUAGAAAAGGAUCAUAUCCCCCUUUUUGAGUCAUUUUACAUGAAUGGGGCCAAGGCUUGGUGUUUAGGCCCUUUAUUUCUGUAUGACAAGAUCGAGGGUCUUGAAAGAUCCAUUAACCAAAAUCAAAAUCCCUCCAUGUCAACACAAUGGCUUGAUGAGCAAAGCACACCAGAUUCUGUGAUCUAUGUUUCAUUUGGUACACAAGCUGACGUAUCAGAUUCUCAGCUUGAUGAGGUAGCCUUUGGCUUGGAGGAGUCAGGAGUUCCAUUCGUAUGGGUGGUACGAUCAAAGGCAUGGUCUUUACCUGGUGGCAUGGAGGAGAAAAUUAAGGACAGAGGUUUGAUUGUAAGCGAAUGGGUUGAUCAACGCCAAAUACUAUCUCAUCGUGCCAUAGGUGGAUUCUUGAGUCACUGUGGCUGGAACUCGGUGCUAGAAAGUGUAGUCGCUGGUGUGCCAAUUCUGGCUUGGCCAAUGAUAGCUGAACAAUCUUUGAAUGCGAAGCUUAUAGUGGAUGGACUUGGAGCCGGGCUUAGCGUCAAGAGGGUACAAAAUCAAGGCUCUGAGAUCCUUGUUUCAAGGC
rnacentral:lncRNA from 1 species